UCUCCAUUAAAGCGGAGAUACAUCGCGUGACACAGACAAAUACACUGCCUCACGUCCGUCCAGUGGGCUCGGUCCGUUGUACUUUCUGACGCGGGGAAGGGACGUGCCACACACGGCGUGCAGAGUUUUCGUGCAGAGUGGGACAUUGUUUUUCUGCUCCACGGGCCCGGUGGUCUGCCCAGAAAGCUCAGUACGGGCUGGACCUGGUGGCGAGGACACAGGUUAGUCGCAUGUGCUGCGUCUCGCACGAGUCCCAUUUCCGUCUUGAUGGGCGAAGAACAAGCUGAACUGCGAGAACAGCGCCGGCGUCCGGGCUGCUUCCUGUCCCGGCUGGCUAUGCUCAUGCUGAUUCCCGGAGCGACGACGGGGGCGGGGAUGGACUCUGGAUCGAUCUCGACGGCAAGGGAUCCAGAGGUGCGCCGCGCGCGAGGAGCCGUGCGUAUUGGGGGAGGGCGGUAACGCUUUGCCCGAAUCGGCCGUAGGCUCGCCGGAUUCGGCCGUCGGAGCGGUCUCGACGGACAUGCGUCGGUUGGAUCAAGGAGGGGGUUUGACUGAUGUCCAGUCCUCCGGGGCUUCCUGCAAGACCUUCAGUUCUGGGGGCGGAGAUGUGGCGUCCGCAAAACCCCGGGUGCGCGACUCGUGCCGUCGUCUCGCACACCUCCAUCGAGUCCAGCCUCCGCAGUGCCACGGCGGAAUCCUGCACGACAUUCAGUUCUGGGGCCGUGGGCGUGUCGUCGGCACGGGUCUGCGACGAGAUGCCGGCGGUCAUCUCGAGCUGCGCCGUGCAGUCCUUAGGCCACAACGGCCUGGCUACGGGCAACACCACCAUCCGCGUUGGCUGCAAGAGCAGGUAGUUACUGGUUUUCUGUCCCUUAGGCCAAUGGUGUAAUUUCUUGUUCAGUCAUCCGAGCAACUAAUAUAUGUUUCAUUAGGGUAGGACUCUGAAUCCAAUUGGCCUGGGGAAACAGUAGAAAUCUGAAUCUACCCCUGGCCAAAAAGUUCUUACAUGUUAUCCUUAAGCCCUGCCCAGUGCUUGGUUAGCAAAAAAAAUACUUACAGUAAAAA